rnacentral:rRNA from 1 species
CAGCCGCCGCGGGAAUACGGAGGGUGCAAGCGUUAUCCGGAUUUAUUGGGUUUAAAGGGUCCGUAGGCGGAUCUGUAAGUCAGUGGUGAAAUCUCACAGCUUAACUGUGAAACUGCCAUUGAUACUGCAGGUCUUGAGUAAAUUUGAAGUGGCUGGAAUAAGUAGUGUAGCGGUGAAAUGCAUAGAUAUUACUUAGAACACCAAUUGCGAAGGCAGGUCACUAAGAUUUAACUGACGCUGAUGGACGAAAGCGUGGGGAGCGAACAGGAUUAGAUACCCCUGUAGUCCCUGUCUCUUAUAC